rnacentral:rRNA from 1 species
UACAGAGGGUGCAAGCGUUAAUCGGAAUUACUGGGCGUAAAGCGCGCGUAGGCGGUUGUGUAAGUUGGAUGUGAAAUCCCCGGGCUUAACCUGGGAAUGGCAUUCAAAACUGCACGGCUAGAGUGUGGGAGAGGAAGGUAGAAUUCCAGGUGUAGCGGUGAAAUGCGUAGAGAUCUGGAGGAAUACCGAUGGCGAAGGCAGCCUUCUGGCCUAACACUGACGCUGAGGUGCGAAAGCAUGGGGAGCAAACAGG